rnacentral:rRNA from 1 species
UACGUAGGGGGCAAGCGUUAUCCGGAAUUACUGGGUGUAAAGGGUGAGUAGGCGGCAUGGUAAGCCAGAUGUGAAAGCCUUGGGCUUAACCCGAGGAUUGCAUUUGGAACUAUCAAGCUAGAGUACAGGAGAGGAAAGCGGAAUUCCUAGUGUAGCGGUGAAAUGCGUAGAUAUUAGGAAGAACACCGGUGGCGAAGGCGGCUUUCUGGACUGAAACUGACGCUGAGGCACGAAAGCGUGGGGAGCGAACAGG